rnacentral:rRNA from 1 species
CAGCAGUGGGGAAUAUUGCACAAUGGGCGCAAGCCUGAUGCAGCCAUGCCGCGUGUGUGAAGAAGGCCUUCGGGUUGUAAAGCACUUUCAGCGGGGAGGAAGGCGUUAAGGUUAAUAACCUUGGCGAUUGACGUUACCCGCAGAAGAAGCACCGGCUAACUCCGUGCCAGCAGCCGCGGUAAUACGGAGGGUGCAAGCGUUAAUCGGAAUUACUGGGCGUAAAGCGCACGCAGGCGGUCUGUCAA